rnacentral:rRNA from 1 species
GGACUGAGAUACGGCCCAAACUCCUACGGGAGGCAGCAGUAGGGAAUAUUCCACAAUGAGCGAAAGCUUGAUGGAGCGACACAGCGUGCACGAUGAAGGUCUUCGGAUUGUAAAGUGCUGUUAUAAGGGAAGAACACUCAGAGGAGGAAAUGCCUUUGAGCUGACGGUACCUUGUCAGAAAGCGAUGGCUAACUAUGUGCCAGCAGCCGCGGUAAUACAUAGGUCGCAAGCGUUAUCCGGAAUUAUUGGGCGUAAAGCGUUCGUAGGCUGUUUAUUAAGUCUGGAGUCAAAUCCCGGGGCUCAACCCCGGCUCGCUUUGGAUACUGAUAAACUAGAGUUGGAUAGAGGUAAGCGGAAUUCCAUGUGAAGCGGUGAAAUGCGUAGAUAUAUGGAAGAACACCAAAGGCGAAGGCAGCUUACUGGGUCUAUACUGACGCUGAGGGACGAAAGCGUGGGGAGCAAACAGGAUUAGAUACCCUGGUAGUCCACGCCGUAAACGAUGAUCAUUAGUCGGUGGAGAGUUCACUGACGCAGCUAACGCAUUAAAUGAUCCGCCUGAGUAGUAUGCUCGCAAGAGUGAAACUUAAAGGAAUUGACGGGGACCCGCACAAGCGGUGGAGCAUGUGGUUUAAUUUGAAGAUACACGGAGAACCUUACCCACUCUUGACAUCUUCCGCAAAGCUAUAGAGAUAUAGUAGAGGUUAACGGAAUGACAGAUGGUGCAUGGUUGUCGUCAGCUCGUGUCGUGAGAUGUUUGGUCAAGUCCUGCAACGAGCGCAACCCCUAUCUUUAGUUACUAACGAGUCAUGUCGAGGACUCUAGAGAUACUGCCUGGGUAACCGGGAGGAAGGUGGGGAUGACGUCAAAUCAUCAUGCCUCUUACGAGUGGGGCCACACACGUGCUACAAUGGUCGGUACAAAGAGAAGCAAUAUGGCGACAUGGAGCAAAUCUCAAAAAGCCGAUCUCAGUUCGGAUUGGAGUCU